UACGAAGGGGGCUAGCGUUGCUCGGAAUCACUGGGCGUAAAGGGUGCGUAGGUGGGCUGGUAAGUCAGUGGUGAAUCUCCGGGCUUAACUCGGAAACUGCCGUUGAUACUAUCUGUCUUGAAUAUCGUGGAGGUAAGCGGAAUAUGUCAUGUAGCGGUGAAAUGCUUAGAUAUGACAUAGAACACCCAUUGCGAAGGCAGCUUACUACACGAUCAUUGACGCUGAGGCACGAAAGCGUGGGGAUCAAACAGG
rnacentral:rRNA from 1 species